CUUGUCCCACCUCUGCACUCAGCCUGUGCCUUUGCAUGUGCUGUUUGUGCCAAUGGAGACACCACCUUCCCUCCUGUGUGCCUGACCCCGGUGGAGUCCCCAGCCCCGCCCCAGGCUGCUGCCGUCUUCCACAGCACCCUCCUUCCUCUCAGUGCUCACUGGCCUGUGCUCCUGCUCUGGAGAGGGUCCUCCAGCCUUGCGUCCUGGAGGCCCUGCUCACUCACCACGGAUGUCUUGGACCGACAACAACCAGGACAGAGCAAGGAGCAGCCCGGGUCAGUGUCGGCACGUGAUGCCAGCACACAGCUGUUUCUGGCUGGGCUGGCCGGUGUAGUGAUGUGCGGAGCCUCACAGCCUCUUGCAGACAGUGAGCGUCCCUGCUUUCCCAGACCCCUGCCUGUCCUGUUUUCCCUUUCGACUACUGUGAGCAUCGGAACCUUCAGAGGAGUCUCCGGGUCUGCCAGAGAGAAAUGGAAAAGUUGGCAAAGCCCCAGGAGGCAGAGGACCUGCAAUAUCCACAGGUGGGCUGAUCUGGAGUCCCUCAGCUAUAAACUGGAGACACCACCCACUUCAAGGAAUAGCCAUGGAGAUGAGAUGCAGCAGUGUCCAAAGAACUCCCUAGUACUCUAAGCAUAGUCUGUUAGCAAGGCCAGUUCCCCUUCCCCACACGCGUGACUUCCUGUCCUUUUCUUGGAGGCAGCCAGGCAGACUACAACCAAUUAAAGCAAGCAGGCCACCCUCCCUGCCCCACACACCUGUUCCAACUAAACUUGUAUUUCAGGCUCUAAAAGAAAAAGAAC
rnacentral:lncRNA from 1 species